AGUUGUACAAUGAAUAAGAUUAUAUAUAAUUUGGUUUCUAUUAUUUGAGUGUUGUGGAAUUUCAAUACACAACUGUAAUAAGUAAUAAAGUAAAUAAGUAGAUUGUCAACCUUAAGAUGUACACGGAGUGAAAUUGGCAUCUUCUACACAGAUCAGGAGGUGGUGGGAGUGGAUCUGCCCAAGGAGAUCAACGGGAUGCUUUUUCCUUGUAGAUCCGGUGGGUUGGGGAGAGUCGGUUGUAGAUCUGAGGGUGGUUAUGGGUGGUGGGGUUUCCUCCUCCAGCAUCGUGGUGGAGAUCCGGAGGGCGUGGUUCGUGAUGUUCUGGCUGUGGUUUAGACAUGGAUGUUCUAUUAUUUACAUGGUAUCAAGCCUCAACGGUCCUACCCUUGUGUUCAUUCUCUCCAAUGGCGACUAUAGAUUCUACUAUCCACGAAGAUGGCACUUCCUCAUCUGCCCUCACCCCACAGCAGCAACACUUCUUUACAGUAUAGUCAGGGUGUUAUUCAUAUUUUCCAAUAUGAAUACGAUUUGGUCUAACAAUUUUAAUGAAUCCUUUGGGAAUGUUCCCUGUGCGGGAUUAUUAUGAAAAGCCCUGAGUGGUAUGUAAUAUUCAUAACGAGUGUUUUUCUAAUGUCACUAUCUUCGAUAAAGUGACUAUGUGUAGGCAUUUAUGUAGUUCUAAGUGAGUUAGUAUGGUUUAAGUAUCUCAUCCUUUGGGUGGAGAUUUUUUACUAUUUAGAGUCAUUGCAUGUGACUUGAUCUGCUUUCAAUUUCAAUAAAAUCCAUAGAGUACUUUAACUA